rnacentral:rRNA from 1 species
GCUUAAUACAUGCAAGUCGUGGGGCAGCAGGUUCCGAGCAAUCGGAAUGCUGGCGACCGGCAAACGGGUGCGUAACACGUACGCAAUCUACCCAUUACAGGGGAAUAGCCCAGGGAAACUUGGAUUAAUACCCCAUAUUAUAUAGGAUUGGCAUCAGUCUUAUAUCAAAGCUUCGGCGGUAAUGGAUGAGCGUGCGGUUGAUUAGAUAGUUGGCGGGGUAACGGCCCACCAAGUCUACGAUCAAUAGCUGAUGUGAGAGCAUGAUCAGCCACACGGGCACUGUAGACACGGGCCCGACUCCUACGGGAGGCAGCAGUAAGGAAUAUUGGGCAAUGGACGAAAGUCUGACCCAGCCAUGCCGCGUGAAGGAUGAAGGUCCUCUGGAUUGUAAACUUCUUUUAUCUGGGGGCGAAAAUCACCCUUUCUAGGGUGCUUGACAGUACCAGGAGGAAUAAGCACCGGCUAACUCCGUGCCAGCANCCGCGGUAAUACG